GGCAAACCGCAAAUUCCCCUAUUGUGCCUAAUCCUUAUUGUGGCUAGCUUCACACCACGAUCCAGGCGAGCCUCACUGGUCAGAUGAAGCUAUCUGGCUGCUUUUAAGAAGGCUGGAUCUGAAACCCAGUGACAACACUCGGGUCUGUAGCUGCCAUUUUCCUGACGGGAAAGAGAAAGGGCCCUGUAUUUACCAGUAGGAGAGAAAGAUCCAGAACUGUUGAUUGGGGAAACAAGAACAAACAAUGAGGCAUGACGAUUGGGUGUUCAGGGAUACAACUUGUCACAUUGUCCGUGUCCCAACAGGACUGGAUCCUUCAGACCAUCCGGGACAUCCUGUUCCAGUGGGAUGUGAGCGUCCAGUUGCAGAGACUACAGCACAUCGAGCCUGUGGACGGACAGCUCAGUAACACGUAAAAUAUGAUACAAUAGUGCUGACAGGAGGAACAAUAUGUGUCUGUCAAAGGUCGUCACGCUGGAUGGGGAUGGAGGCUUUGGUGGUCCACACAACGACGCAGCAGGAAUCUCUUCCAGUGGUGUGGACCUGAUCCUGGAUCGGUUGCAAGUACGGAUGGUCUUCACGAAGGCUAUAUAGAAAUCCUUUGACUUCACUGCCUCUUCAAUGGUACAGUAAGGGCCCGUGCACCAUAUGGACCCUUGACCUCCAGCACUGCUGUGGAGCCCACCAGACCAUCCAGUGAGGCACCUAGGAUCCCAGACCUUGUGACCCCAAAGCCCUGACUCCUGCACAUCCAUCCUUGUAGACAUUUUGAAUGCCUUGAUGAACUCCUCUUUGUUAACUGUGGCCCACUUUACAGACAUCACCCCAUCCAACAACUGUGAUCUGAGGACUCUUUUUAUUUAUUUUAUUUUUUAAUCAGCGACGGAGUAAUGCACUUAGCCCUAACCACUGUCCCAUAAUUGCUGUCCGUCAACUUUCCUCUCCUCAUGAUGUGCCAGUUGAGGUCGGUGUGCUGUCCAACUGUUGCCUGCCGUAUAACCUCCUGCUGCUCAUCCGACAGAGUCAUGCCAGCCAGGAUGCCUGCAUGCCCCAGUGAGGGCAGCGAUUGUUCUGGCUCAGGUUUAAGGAGACAUGCCAUUCCACUGAACCGGUUCCUUAGUCACUGAAGAACCUCCUCUGUGGGCUCUCGGGACAGUGGGUUUUAGUCUUCAGCCAGGUACAGAUCCUCCACUGACUGCACCUGGUUGGGCACGGCUGGCUUCCUUCACUCGCAUUCCAUAUCCGUACGGACAAUAUUGGUAAACACCAAAAUAGGCUUCAUGGCUACACUGAUGAGCUCGAUGGAGACAUUCCCAUGUGGUAGAGAGAAUCCCCUGUUCACCUAUAGAGACCUGACAACAGGAAGUGGUCAACUAUAGAGACCUGUCAACAGGAAGUGGUCACCUCUAGAGACCUGCCUACAGGAAGGAUGUUAAGUGCUACAUGACUUUCAGUGCACGACUUUAAACAUCUUGAAAUUAAUUUGUUGUAAAAAAUGUGCUAUAUAAAUGAAGUUCCAUUUGAUUGAUGACAUUACAUCUGUAGAAUGUGUCCACUGUGGCGGACUACAGACAACAUGAACAGUAUAUGAAUAGAAAAGGUGUGUACAGCAGUAGAAUAAUGUAAAAAUAUUUUACAAUCCAGGUGUGCAAAGCUCAGACUUACCCAGAAAGAGUCACAGCUGUAAUUGCUGCCAAAGGUGAUUCUAACAUGUAUUGACUCAGGGUUGUGAAUCCUUAUGUAAAUGAGUUAUUUCUGUAUUUCAUUUUCAAUACAUUUGCAAAAAAUUCUACAAAAACAUGCUUUCACUUUGUCAUUAUGGAGUAUUGUGGUAGAUGGGUUACCAGUGUUCAAUGACUAUGUACAUAGGGAAAAGCAGUCUCUAAGGUUCAGGGUAGAGUACCAUGUGGUAGCUGGCUAGUAACAGUAACUAAGGGUGUUUUCACACAGUCCUCUUUAAAAUAACCGAUCUCAGUCUUCUUAAAAGUGAACUGGGGUAUAAAGAAAAGAAGAAGAAGGUAAAUAACUCCGUUCUCUUUGUAUUCACACUGCCUUUGCAUGAGGACUCAACUCUUUUGCCAGUUCACUUCACCUAUUUUGUGGACUGAGUUCUCUUUGUAUUCACACUGCCUUUGCAUGAGGACUCAACUCUUUUGCCAGUUCACUUCACCUAUUUUGUGGACUGAGUCCUCUUUGUAUUCACACUGCCUUUGCAUGAGGACUCAACUCUUUUGCCAGUUCACUUCACCUAUUUUGUGGACCGAGUCCUCUUUGUAUUCACACUGCCUUUGCAUGAGGACUCAACUCUUUUGCCAGUUCACUUCACCUAUUUUGUGGACCGAGUCCUCUUUGUAUUCACACUGCCUUUGCAUGAGGACUCAACUCUUUUGCCAGUUCACUUCACCUAUUUUGUGGACCGAGUCCUCUUUGCAUUCACAUUGCUAUGUUUAUAAAGGACCCAGGAUAUUUUUCCAUCAUGCACUCUGGGUUUUUUACAAAGUGCAGGGAAAGCCAUUCAGUCAGAAUGUGUUAUUGGACAGCUAGAUAUACCUACUUACAUGUAUGAAGCUAAUGGAUUGCAUUUAGUUAAAAUAUGAGACAUAAUAAUUGCAAAUAGAAGAUACUAUUAACAUGUACAUCUGAUUGGUAACAGAAUAAAUAGUAAUAUAAUGACUGCAGAAUAAAUAAUGUUGUAAUUGAAAAUUGUACACCCAAG